UACAGAGGGUGCGAGCGUUAAUCGGAAUUACUGGGCGUAAAGGGUGCGUAGGUGGUUAGUUAAGUUAGAUGUGAAAUCCCUGGGCUUAACCUAGGAAUGGCAUUUAAGACUGAUUAGCUAGAGUUUGGGAGAGGGAAGUGGAAUUUCCGGUGUAGCGGUGAAAUGCGUAGAUAUCGGAAGGAACAUCAGUGGCGAAGGCGACUUCCUGGCCCGAUACUGACACUGAGGCACGAAAGCGUGGGGAGCGAACAGG
rnacentral:rRNA from 1 species